rnacentral:rRNA from 1 species
AUUGAACGCUGGCGGCAUGCCUUACACAUGCAAGUCGAGCGGCAGCGCGGGGGCAACCCUGGCGGCGAGCGGCGCACGGGUGAGUAAUACAUCGGAACGUGUCCUUUCGUGGGGGAUAACCAGUCGAAAGACUGGCUAAUACCGCAUGAGAUCUCACGAUGAAAGCGGGGGACCCGAGGGUAACUUCGGGCCUCGCGCGAUUGGAGCGGCCGAUGUCGGAUUAGCUAGUUGGCGGGGUAAAAGCCCACCAAGGCGACGAUCCGUAGCUGGUUUGAGAGAACGACCAGCCACACUGGGACUGAGACACGGCCCAGACUCCUACGGGAGGCAGCAGUGGGGAAUUUUGGACAAUGGGGGCAACCUGAUCCAGCCAUGCCGCGUGUGUGAAGAAGGCCU